CCUACGGGAGGCAGCAGUCGAGAAUCAUUCACAAUGGGGGAAACCCUGAUGGUGCGACGCCGCGUGGGGGAAUGAAGGUCUUCGGAUUGUAAACCCCUGUCAUGUGGGAGCAAAUUAUAAAGAUAGUACCCCAAGAGGAAGAGACUGCUAACUCUGUGCCAGCAGCCGCGGUAAUACAGAGGUCUCAAGCGUUGUUCGGAAUCACUGGGCGUAAAGCGUGCGUAGGCUGUUUCGUAAGUCGUGUGUGAAAGGCGCGGGCUCAACCCGCGGACGGCACAUGAUACUGCGAGACUAGAGUAAUGGAGGGGGAACCGGAAUUCUCGGUGUAGCAGUGAAAUGCGUAGAUAUCGAGAGGAACACUCGUGGCGAAGGCGGGUUCCUGGACAUUAACUGACGCUGAGGCACGAAGGCCAGGGGAGCGAAAGGGAUUAGAUACCCGAGUAGUC
rnacentral:rRNA from 1 species